UACGUAGGGUGCGAGCGUUAAUCGGAAUUACUGGGCGUAAAGCGUGCGCAGGCGGUUCGUUGUGUCGGCGGUGAAAGCCCCGGGCUCAACCUGGGAAUGGCCGUUGAAACUGGCGAACUGGAGUGUGGCAGAGGGGGGUGGAAUUCCGCGUGUAGCAGUGAAAUGCGUAGAGAUGCGGAGGAACACCGAUGGCGAAGGCACUCUGCUGGGCCGACACUGACACUGAGAGACGAAAGCUAGGGGAGCAAAUGGG
rnacentral:rRNA from 1 species